UCAUCAUGCCCCUUAUGACCUGGGCUACACACGUGCUACAAUGGUUGGUACAACGAGUUGCGAGUCGGUGACGGGCGAGCUAAUCUCUUAAAGCCAAUCUCAGUUCGGAUUGUAGGCUGCAACUCGCCUACAUGAAGUCGGAAUCGCUAGUAAUCGCGGAUCAGCACGCCCGCGGUCGAAUACGUUCCCGGGCCUU
rnacentral:rRNA from 1 species